rnacentral:rRNA from 1 species
CCUACGGGUGGCAGCAGUGAGGAAUAUUGGUCAAUGGGCGCGAGCCUGAACCAGCCAAGUCGCGUGAGGGAAGACGGUCCUAUGGAUUGUAAACCUCUUUUGUCGGGGAGCAAAAGACGCCACGCGUGGCGUUACGAGAGUACCCGAAGAAAAAGCAUCGGCUAACUCCGUGCCAGCAGCCGCGGUAAUACGGAGGAUGCGAGCGUUAUCCGGAUUUAUUGGGUUUAAAGGGUGCGCAGGCGGAAGGUCAAGUCAGCGGUAAAAUUGCGAGGCUCAACCCCUUCGAGCCGUUGAAACUGGUUUUCUUGAGUGAGUGAGAAGUAUGCGGAAUGCGUGGUGUAGCGGUGAAAUGCAUAGAUAUCACGCAGAACUCCGAUUGCGAAGGCAGCAUGCCGGCGCUCAACUGACGCUCAUGCACGAAAGUGUGGGUAUCGAACAGGAUUAGAUACCCGGGUAGUC